rnacentral:tRNA from 1 species
GCGGAUGUAGUUCAAUGGUAGAACAUCAGCUUCCCAAGCUGAAUACGGGAGUUCGAUUCUCCUCAUCCGCU